rnacentral:tRNA from 1 species
GGUGGGUUAGCUCAGUGGUUAGAGCUUAGGUCUUUUGACCGGAAGGCCCCGGGAUCGAAUCUCGCUAGAAGUA